GUAAAGGCCCUUUUCAAGGCCACCCACGAUUUGAUUUGAAUUCUUU
rfam:Schistosoma margrebowiei strain Zambia genome assembly, scaffold: SMRZ_scaffold0002190